rnacentral:lncRNA from 1 species
GCGAGAGUCAGGACGUUCCAGAAAGUUCCAAAGACAUCACUGGUCCUCUUUGGACCGGAGUUCUCCGAAGAAACCGCUUCCGGCGCUCCUGACACACUGAGAUAGAAAGUUUCACAGAAAUAGGGCAAGGGAUAGGGCGAGGGCUCCAGGGCAGGCGUCCUAGGGCACCUGGCGCAGGGGCGGACUGGAAACCCCAGGCAAACGCAGAGGCGGAGAUGGCAUUCCAGGCGGGAGAUCAAGCAAAGGCAGAGAGGGAGGACGGCACCGAGCGGCUCCCUCUGACCAGGACUGAGGAUGAUGCGACCUGAUACCGCCGGAGGGAAGCCUGGGCCCGAUGAGACUGAAGCUCAAAGAAGUUAAGUAACUUGCCAAAAGACUCCCAGCUAAAAGUGUGAGAGCAAAGACUCAAACCAAGGCAG